rnacentral:rRNA from 1 species
CGGUUGAUCCUGCCGGACCCCACUGCUAUCGGGAUAGGACUAAAACAUGCAAGUCGAGCGUUUCCCAACAUUUGUGAAGCGCGGCGAACGGCUCAGUAACACGUGGCUAACCUGCCCUUGGGACGGGAAUAACCCCGGGAAACUGGGGCUAAUUCCCGAUAGGUGGAGAACUCUGGAAUGAUUCUCCGCCCAAAAGACGCCUACGCCCAUGCUCGUAGGCGUCGCCCAAGGAUGGAGCCGCGUCCGAUCAGGUUGUUGGUGAGGUAACGGCUCACCAAGCCUUUUACCGGUGCGGGCCGUGGGAGCGGGAGCCCGGAGAUGGGCACUGAGACAAGGGCCCAGGCCCUACGGGGCGCAGCAGUUGCGAAAACUCUGCAAUACACGAAAGUGUGACAGGGCUAUCCCGAGUGCCUUCCGCUGAGGAAGGCUUUUACCCAGUCUAGCAAGCUGGAAGAAUAAGGAGAGGGCAAGACUGGUAUCAGCCGCCGCGGUAAUACCAGCUCUCCGAGUGGUGGGGAUGUUUAUUGGGCCUAAAGCAUCCGUAGCUGGCUGGGCAAGUCCCCUGUUAAAUCCAACGAUUUAAUCGUUGGUGUGCGGGGGAUACUGCCCAGCUAGGGGGCGGGAGAGGCAGACGGUAUUCCCGGGGUAGGGGUGAAAUCCUAUAAUCCCGGGAGGACCACCAGUGGCGAAGGCUGUCUGCCAGAACGCGCCCGACGGCGAGGGAUGAAAGCUGGGGGAGCGAACCGGAUUAGAUACCCGGGUAGCCCCAGCUGUAAACGAUGCAGGCUAGGUGUUAGGGCGGCCACAUGCCGCUCUAGUGCCGCAGGGAAGCCGUUAAGCCUGCCGCCUGGGGAGUACGGCCGCAAGGCUGAAACUUAAAGGAAUUGGCGGGGGAGCAC